rnacentral:rRNA from 1 species
AGAGUUUGAUCCUGGCUCAGGACGAACGCUGGCGGCGUGCCUAAUACAUGCAAGUCGAGCGAAUCUGAGGGAGCUUGCUCCCGAAGAUUAGCGGCGGACGGGUCAGUAACACGUGGGCAACCUGCCUGUAAGACUGGGAUAACUUCGGGAAACCGGAGCUAAUACCGGAUAAUUCAUUUCCUCUCAGGAGGAAAAGCUGAAAGAUGGUUUCGGCUAUCACUUACGGAUGGGCCCGCGGCGGAUUAGCUAGUUGGUGAGGUAACGGGUAGCCAGGGGAACGAUGCGUAGCCGCCCUGGGAGGGUGAUCGGCCACACUGGGCCUGAGACACGGCCCAGACUCCUACGGGAGGCAGCAGUAGGGAAUCUUCGGCAAUGGACGAAAGUCUGACGGAGCAACGCCGCGUGAGUGAUGAAGGUUUGCGGAUCGUAAAACUCUGUUGUUAGGGAAGAACAUGUAUCGGAGUAACUGCCGGUACCUUGACGGUACCUAACCAGAAAGCCACGGCUAACUACGUGCCAGCAGCCGCGGUAAUACGUAGGUGGCAAGCGUUGUCCGGAAUUAUUGGGCGUAAAGUGCGCUCAGGUGGUUUCUUAAGUCUGAUGUGAAAGCCCCCGGCUCAACCGGGGAGGGUCAUUGGAAACUGGGAGACGUGAGUGCAGAAGAGGAAAGUGGAAUUCCAAGUGUAGCGGUGAAAUGCGGAGAGAUUUGGAGGAACACCAGUGGCGAAGGCGACUUUCUGGUCUGUAACUGACACUGAGGCGCGAAAGCGUGGGGAGCGAACAGGAUUAGAUACCCUGGUAGUCCACGCCGUAAACGAUGAGUGCUAAGUGUUAGGGGGUUUCCGCCCCUUAGUGCUGCAGCAAGCGCAUUAAGCACUCCGCCUGGGGAGUACGGCCGCAAGGCUGAAACUCAAAGGAAUUGACGGGGGCUCGGACAAGCGGUGGAGGAUGUGGUUUAAUUCGAAGCAACGCGAAGAACCUUACCAGGUCUUGACGUCCUCUGACAACUCUAGAGAUAGAGCGUUCCCCUUCGGGGGACAGCGUGACAGGUGGUGCAUGGUUGUCGUCAGCUCGUGUCGUGAGAUGUUGGGUUAAGUCCCGCAACGAGCGCAACCCUUGACCUUAGUUGCCAGCAUUCAGUUAGGCACUCUAAGGAGACUGCCGGUGACAACCCGGAGGAAGGUGGGGAUGAUGUCAAAUCAUCAUGCCCCUUAUGACCUGGGCUACACACGUACUACAAUGGAUGGUACAAAGGGCUGCAAGAGCGCGAGGUUUAGCCAAUCCCAUAAAACGAUUCUCAGUUCGGAUUGCAGGCUGCGACUAGCCUGCAUGAAGCCGGAAUCGCUAGUAAUCGUGGAUCAGCAUGCCGCGGUGAAUACGUUCCCGAGCCUUGUACACACCGCCCGUCCCACCACGAGAGUUUGUAACACCCGCAGUCGGUGGGGUAACCGUAAGGAGCCAGCCGCCUAAGGUGGGACAGAUGAUUGGGGUGAAGUCGUAACAAGGUAGCCGUAUCGGAAGGUGCGGCUGG